UCCAACUAAAAAGUCAAAAAUACAAAAUAUGACAUGCACUCUGCCUGAGCUCGCGAGGCGAGAAAGGGUUGCUCGCCAUGGCGAGUUGGACCAAACAACUCGCGAGGCGAAGGAAAGGGGCUCGCGUGGCGAGCGAUGAAGUCCAUCACUCGCGAGGCGAGGUUCAUCACUCGCUGUGGCGAGCGAUGAACAGAAGCACGGGCAGACUAGGGUUUUUCUCAAAAAUCCAUCACACAACAUGGUUCAAAGCCUAAUUUUGAUUCCAGAAUUCAUCCUAAACAUAUUCUAAGGUUAAAGGACGGUUUCUACAUCAAUCUAAACAAGUUUUACCGUUUGAUCAUCAAUUUUUAGGGUUUUAACCUAAUUCCAAAACUUUUCUAAAUCAAUCCUAACUUUGUCAACUAAUCAUCAGAAUUACAGAGGUUAAUGCUACUGAGUUAUUAGUCCCACCCUUACCUGGUUAUGAAGAAAAUCGCAGCCCUCUUGGUCUCUUGCUCCUCUCUAAGCUUUUUCUCCC
rnacentral:lncRNA from 1 species